rnacentral:lncRNA from 1 species
UGAAUAUCUGGGUUUUCCUCUCCUGUUUUUACAACAUUUUUGAAUACCACGAGGAAAGAGUUAUUUAUUGGAAUAAGUAUUAGCAGUGUGAGGACAGAUAAGCUUACCUUUGGAAGUGGGACCACUCUCACAGUUGAACCAACCAGUCAAAAUAUUUCUGUCCCAGAAGUCAUUGUGAUGAAAUCAAAGAAACAGAAAGAAGAUGACAACACUGGGAGAGCAGCUUGUUUGGCAAGGAAUUUCUAUACAAAGAACAUCAGCCUGGAGAUGUCCUCCAACGAGGUCGUCUAUGAACAGAGUACAUCCAUUUUUACAUCAGAGAGGUUGUACAAUACUUUUAAGGUGGUCAGUGUGACAAAAGACACAGAGGUGACCUGCACGGCCAAGUUCAACGGCAAAACUAUUACAGCCAACACAACAGCAGCAGAAAAGGCUGAAGAACCAGUAACAGAGAAGUCUUGCAACACCACAGGCACCUCUGCACAAGAUACCGAAGUGGAGAAAACGAACAUGCUGUCUAUGGCUGUGUUGGGUUUGAGAGUCCUGCUGGCAAAAAGUAUCGCCUUCAAUACACUUAUGAGUGUCAAGUUGUUUCUUUUCUGAGACAGCGGGGAAGCAAGGCAAGAGCAACAGCAAUCUGAAGAACAGCGGGAGAGAGUGUGCGCCAGCAGCACAACAGACUGAACAAUGUGGAAUCUGCUGACAAUAACCAUCCAGAACGCAACACAGCACCUUCCCCAUAAGACAUUUUAUACUGUUGAAUCUUGCCUAACUAGUUUAUUUAGUUUUAAGAGUUGUAACUGCUUUUGCUAUUUCUUUUUCUCUGUGAACAGAGAGUGUAUUUUCCCUCAUCCCCCUGCUCCGUAGAAAUUGUUCUCCCCACUUUUCUAGCUUUUGCAUGCAAGGAUCCAGUCUGCUUCAAUAGUUUUGAAAAAGCCAAUCCUCACUAUAGAUAUACGACCCUCUAAAAACACCUUUUAGAGGCAUCAUGCAUGACUGUCUGUAGAACUGAUGUAUUACUGCUGAAAAAAUUCAGGCACAGUAGAUGCUAUUUAUAGGUUUAAUGUUUUUUAGAAAGCUUUAAUAACAUGAAUUUUCUAGUGCAGAUGAGAAGACCUGUGUUGGAUCCAAAGUGAUUCAGUUCAACCAGAUAAUGUUGAACCACAGGAGCAUUUCUUUAUUAAACCUGUAUCUCUUCUGCCAAGUGCACGGCACAUGCGUUUUAGGUUACUGUAGUGACCAAAAUAAAGUUUUACUAAGC